ACCUAUUUUAAAAAAAAAAAAAAAAGACCGAAGAUAAUGAAACACACAUAGUGGUUAUUAUGGCCCAUUAUAUAUCUGAGUUUGGUUAUUGACAAGUUGUUCUGUGUCUUUGACAACAAAUCAGUGCCAAUUGGCAACAGGAUUAAGAAAUUGUAGAUCAUGCUUACACGAGACUAAAUAUGAAAGUGCUGAAGUGUAAGAUGAUUACUGAUUCCCCCGACUUGCCCUAUUAGUAGCAGUUAUUUGUUCUUAUGGUAGGAACUCCUUACAGUGCCUCACCAUUGUUUUCCGUAUUCCCACUCUUCAGUGUUUAACCGAGGCAUCUCAUGGCGAGCCCCAGAAAAAUUUCUUUUUCUGAUUGGUCAAAUUUAUUCAGGACAUUUAUUGGUCGGUAUGUAAUUUUAACAAGUUGCUGACCUCGAUCGCAAUUGCAGGUGAGCAAAGAGAUGUAGAAAUGCUUUGGCUAUAUGUUCAUCUGAAGUUCUCUAAUAUUUGAAACCGUAGAUCUUUCCAUUUUUUCAUACACAUAUCUGAUUUCAAUUUAUCAUUUUCCGAUUAACUGAGUGCAUUAUGCUGGGUGAUAACUAAUUCAGUGUAAAUUAUCUAUUGUCUGUGGUCUUUUGUUAUUGAAAAAAUGACUACCGUUAAUUACUGUUUCAGGUUAAUGAGAGGAAAAAUAACUGAACUCCAAGACGAUACAAAUUGUACCCUUGGCAUACUUCAAAAUUCAUUUUAAAGACUUAACAACAAACAGUAUAGUCAAUCAGGCUUUAAGUAAUCUAUAGAUUCCCAGCUUCUUGACGAGUUGAUGCUGAAGUUCAUCUAUCGGAUCUUGAUAGUAACCUCUAAACAACAUAAGUUUUAAACUAAGACUGAUUCCUUUUUCCCUUGCGUUUAAUCCUCAUAUUGGUCCACUUCGUUCUCCUAUCAGCAGUUCAGAUUCCAGUAAGUAUUGUUAAUCUAUUGGCUUGCGUUUUCUCUUAGCUUCUUCGUAACGAGAGGCGUAGACAUCCCAAGUUGAUCCUCAUCUGUUGGAUGUUAAUUACUUUAUUCUUUUGAGGUCUUGUUAGUCACAUUUGGAGGCACUUUCAACAUAAGGUAAGUAUUAUGUUCUGUCUAAUUUUCUUGUUUAGGUAUAAAUAUUUAUGCUUAUUUGAAUUGUUUUUGUUUGUGGUAUAUGAUAAUAAGAUUCUACUUACAUUUUGUUUAUGCAUAUCAAAUAAUGUUUUUUCGUAAAUUGAUUUUAGUAGAAUUCAUCAGUUCACUCCUUAAUUGAAGCCAGAUUUCUACAGCUUGGACAAAAGGACAUUCAUCUUUAAAUUGUGUUUAUUCUCUUUAUUGGAAGAAGAGCAUGUUGUCCGAUAAGGAAACAAAUGAGCUGUGAGAUGAGGGACUUUACCUGCAGCUGAACCAUUUGCAAAACUAUGUAAACAGAGUUUUCUGGUGUUGUUUUGUGCAUUUGAUCACGUCAGAACAAGAUUGGAAGAGGAUUUGGGCAAGUUUACAAGCUUCAAUGUGGAGAAACCAGAACUUGCUGUUACACUGUGUGUUAGUAGAGCACGUAAAAGAGCUGCCAACGUUGGAAAUGACUAUCACCGCAACUUACUCUCUAGCAUUUGCUAGAAAGUCCUUCAACUGCUGGGCAGAAUUAUGAAAGCAUUCACAAUAAGCUAAAUCUUGCUUAUGAAGAACGAUAAAUACAAUAUGAGAGUAUAAUAUAGUUCUGGAAACGAUUGACAUUUGUUUUAUUUUAUUACAAACAAAGGUGUUAAGUA